ACGGUUUUGCACACCCAUGGCCAUGUGAGCUGCCUUUCCAACCAAAUUCCUCCCCACGGCCAAAAACAUUGUACGAGAUUUGCCCUUUCCUCCACUCUUGUGCAGAACUUUGCUCUCUCUCUCUCUCUCUCUCUCUCUCUCUCUGUAGUUGAUAGAGCACUCCAUAGUCCUUGGCUGCGUUUGCUUUAGUUUUUUCUCUGUUGUUCUUUCUACUUUUAAGGCAAGUUUCUCUCCACUUGUUUCCCAGAAACAUUACCUGGAUUCCUGGCUUCUAGCGUGUGUUUUAGGCAACAUAUCUAUGGCCCUUACUCAUGCUUUCUCACUGUAUGCCUUAGCUUUUUGUUUUUUGAGAAUGUAAGAUUUUAUCGUAGUGGAGGAUUUUGGUUCCGUAAUUGGCUUAGUUUCUUUAGGACUUCUCUUCAUUUUUCUUUGAUUUCUUUUGAAGGGAUGCUUGUGUUUGUGUUUGUUUUUGUGUUUGAUUGCAGUAUAAAUGCUUGUUAUAUUACCUCACUGAUGGGUUUUGGUUUUCAGUGAAAUUCACUGACAAAGGCUUUUCUUUUUUGGUGGGAGAGAUGGAGCGGAUUGAGGCCUAGAUUAGUUGUUCUUGGGAUGUAAUUUCUGGCGAAAUGGCAUCUUUCAGUGGGUUAGGAAUUGGUUUGAGCUUAGUGUUUGGUUGCCUUCUUUUAGCACUUGUUGCAGAGCUCUACUAUUUGCUAUGGUGGAAGAAAAAAAUCACCAACAGAGAAGUUGAAGAUGAUGAUUACAGCGGAAACUAUGCGAGGGAAUUCUUUGACUUAAUCAGGUGGAAGAAAUCCUCCUCUUUGCAAGUUGACAACACCAUUCAAGAUAGAGUGAGAAUCCCAGAAACUCAUGAGCAAGAACCAGACUUAGAAUUAGGCACAAGCAAGGAUUUGCUUCUGAAGGCUUUUGGUGAAGAAAGUGUAGAAUCAGAACUCAUGAGGCUGCACAAUCUCUCAGGCCCACCAAGAUUUCUCUUCACAAUCAAAGAAGAAACAAAGGAGGAUUUGGAGUCUGAAGAUAGGAGCAGAAAAGGGUCAAGAACAAGAAGUUUGAGUGAUCUUAUAGUGGCUGUUGACACCCCAUUGCUUACCCCUUUAGCUUCUCCACGUUUAAAGUCUUCUCCUCUAAAUCCUUUGGAUUCUUAUCAUCAACAUGGUUUCAAUCCUCUCUUUGAAUCACCAACAGAAUCAGAGAUUAGCAGGCUGAGAUCUUCGCCACCUCCAAAAUUCAAGUUCUUGAGGGAUGCAGAGGAGAAACUGUUGAGAAAAUUAAUAGAAGAAGCAGGGAAAAGGGCAACUAAAACCAGUGGGUUUGUUCAAGAUUCUGGGUUUAAGCCUCCAAAUUCAACAGUGUUAACAGAGGAGACAGAGGGUUCUUUCUUGGGCUUCAUUGUUAGUAAAAACAAGGAAACAGAUGUUCUUCAUAAUCUUCCACAGCAUCCUUCAAGCUCUUCUCAGAUGGGUGGCUUUACUAUUUUAAUGGCGAGAAAUGCUAACGAUGGACAUUUUUUUAAGGUGAUUGUUUAACACUCUAUAUUUUAUUAAUUAAAAAAUUAUUUAUUAUAUUUUUCAAUUUUAAACCUUAUUUCCUUGGGUGUAAUUUCUUGAGAAGUUAAAGCUUUCACUUUAGGAAAUAACUAAAUCCUUUCGCAAUGGUUAAACCAAAGAAAACCUAAGGAGAAAAAAAAGAUAGAAUUUGGGAAAGGAGAAUACAAGAGGUAAUGAAGUAUGGAAAAUUGAGUUCUCUUAUUUUAUGAAUUUAUUCGGGGGAUAGCUGUAUUCAACAUAUGAAAGUUGAACUAUGGGAUCCACCCACCCUUUUUUUUCAAAAAUUAAAAAAAAAUGAAUAAAAGAAAAAUGUAAAAAAGCAACAAAGCAAGAGAAAGUAAAUGUGAAACACUGAAUGAAUAGUAUGAAACUUGUGCAUGUGAAGACAGAAUGGUCAAAAUAUACAGAGUUCAAAUUUUGGAUUAUAGCUUCUUGUUCUUUGUUUUUCCCUUUCCAAUUUUUUUUUUUUUUUUUUUU